AAGUAGAAACUAAUUCCUUUUGUUUUCUGCUUCUUAAGUUGCAAAUAUGAAUUUGUUGCUAGCUGUCUUUCACUUGCUAAUUCCUUCAAGUCUACUGUUGAAAAGUAGUUUUAUUUCUUCUGCUUUUAAUUGUAGAUAGAUUCGUUCUACCUUCUCUAUUUUUUAAUGUGAUUAAGUUACAGAUGGUUCUCUGUUAUCCCAUCAAUAUUAUCUUUUACUAUUUUGAGUUACUCUGACCUAAUAAAUUGUCUGAUACAAUCUCUGUAUUUGUUCCCUCUUAAUACUUUACUGAUAGUCACUUUUGGCAGGUCGAAUUUGGUGCUUUCUCCACACCAACUUGCGUAUGCACAAGUUCCUUUUUCUCACAACUCUCAACUUGAGAAUGCUAUAGAGGUUGCACACUUUCCAGAGUUUGAUUCUGAGCCAUACAGUAUUUUUUUUAAAGGGUUGCGCACAAGUUGGCGACACACUACUGCUUCCUCAAGAGUGCACUAUACUCCUUGCCUCAACUGCGGAUGCAGCCUUAGAAAAUCAGACGCGUCAUAAAGCCGAUUCACUUGUGCUGUUGGAAUAAUAGCUUAUGCGACUAUAAUAAGUUCAGAAAUCAGCUUUGUGUCCUAAGUAAAAAAAAAUCAUAAUCUCGGCAGACACAUUGAAACCACGAUCCGUUUGUGUCGUUGGAAGGAGGAAUUUUGAAAUAUGAUAUUUCAAGCAUCAGGAAUGUUAAAACCACAAUCCACUUGAACCUUUUAAAAGAGGACCUAUGAAACUACAAUAUAUACAAAAAAAGAGAAAGGUCAAUGAAGGAGGCAUUUGGCGUUCUCGAAAUUAUCUCAUGCAAGGCUACCAACAUGAAGGUUGUUCUAUUGAAAUCGACUCGUGAUAAGAUAUUUGCAUCUGCUAGACGCUAAGUGAAGAUCAACCCCAUGAAGUCAAGUAUUUUGUGAAUAUCAACAUUUUUUUAAU